UACGAAGGGGGCUAGCGUUGCUCGGAAUCACUGGGCGUAAAGCGCACGUAGGCGGCUUUCUAAGUCAGGGGUGAAAUCCUGGAGCUCAACUCCAGAACUGCCUUUGAUACUGGAGAGCUUGAGUCCGGGAGAGGUGAGUGGAACUCCGAGUGUAGAGGUGAAAUUCGUAGACAUUCGGAAGAACACCAGUGGCGAAGGCGGCUCACUGGCCCGGUACUGACGCUGAGGUGCGAAAGCGUGGGGAGCAAACAGG
rnacentral:rRNA from 1 species